rnacentral:lncRNA from 1 species
GGAUUCAGAUUUCCUCCUUUCCCCUGACAGAUUAGCUACCUGUCACAGGAAACCACUGUAACAGUGGGAGGUUGUUGUUUGAUUGAAUUCAGACAAAAUUUGUGUUCACAAAUCGUCGCAUUUGUGAUUUUAAAGUCUGCAGUUGAAUCUGCUGUUGAGGGAUUUGUCACUUUGAUUCUUGUCUCUAUAGUCUGCUACGAAGUUCUAGUAACUAUAUGGGAUUCAGAUUUCCUCCUUUCCCCUGACAGAUUAACUACCUGUCACAGGAAACCACUGUAACAGUGGGAGGUUGUUGUUUGAAUGAAUUCAGACAAAAUUUGUGAUCACAAAUCGCCGCAUUUGUGAUUUUAAAGUCUGCAGUUGAAUCUGCUGUUUAAGAAUUUGUCACUUUGAUUCUUGUUCCUGUAAAUGAUUUUAUUGAACCAAUCUGCCUGAGCAGAUGGUGUAAAGUUCUAUGUUUGAGGGUGCAGACGCAGCCUGCUGUGAAAUGUUAACCCUUUGUUGUCAGUGGAGAGACUGACCAUUUGGCCUUAAGCAGAUAAGGCCCUUCAAGGAGGCAGAGCCUAAAGGCCCCUUCCUGCACACUUCCCAACUCCUCACAGCCACAAGAGGCUAGUUGGAUGACUGUUUCCUCUUUUCUUCUUCUUCUCCACUUGUGUUGAGCUUGUGCAGCUAUCCCAACUCCAUACUGCCCCACAUGGUUGCUUUUGGUAUUGAGCUAACACUGCUAUUAUCUGCCUGUAGUAUCAGCCAGCUGUACUGCCUCUCUGUAGUCAGUGUGUAACACUCUACAGACAUAAUUCAAGUGAGUGACUUGGUUGAUGAAGUUUGAUGUGCUUAUUCUAAAUCAUUGAUCAUUGAUUUUUGAUUUUUAUCUUUGUUAUAAGAGCCUCCAUAAUGUAUUGAUAAAGUAACUCCUUGAAUCAAUCACCUGAUCUUGUUGUUACUUAUCACACCAUUGAGCAGUUUACUGUUCCCUAUAAUACAUGAAUGUAUUAACCCUUCUCAUAAGAUUAAUUAAUUAAUGCACAAAUUAAUUAAUAUUUGAAAUUUCUUUUAACAUUCCAGAUGGAUUUGGGUAGUUGAACCUUUGGAUUUAUUGCAAUUUGUGAAUUAAUUUCAGAGUUAAUUCCUUAAAUUGACAAUUUCAUUGAUUUUUCAAAUUCAUCCAACUGCACCAGGCAGUUUAUUUAAGCUUUGCUGAUCUCUGCAACACGGAGACAAAUUGAACCCUUUAUUCAAUGGUUCUGUAUCUGAUGUUAAAUUUAAUUUAACAUUAUUUCACCUUGUUUUAUUUCAAUUUUCAUUGAAAUGAAUUUAACUUUAUGUUAUUUUUCUCUCCAUUAGAGAUCUACUCAGAUAGGCUCUUCCUCUUUAUCAAGCACAGAUAAAUUAAGUCGAUUAACCCACUUAAUUUGAUAUUUUGCUUCUUCCUUUCAUUUUAAGCCAACUCAAACUCAUCAACCAACCACCUGCACCUCUUUACCAAAACCAAACAUGCCUAACACAAAAGAGUCCAGCCAGGGAGACCCCCUGAGGGACAUACACACAGUGUUGGCAAACUUGACUAGUCAGCUGAUACUUCAGUACAUGACUAAGAUUCAAAAGGCCAAACCCUCCAAUCCGGAGGAUGCAAUGGCUGACUUACUGGAAACAGCUUUAACCACGACACUUCGUGACAAAGAGCUCACUAGAUGCAUGUCUGUCGUGAUGUCUUCUCAGCUUGAGUAUAAAGACUACUUGCUGGAAUGCGCUUUAGCAAAGAUAAAGGCGCAAAAAGACGAAAACAGCGCUCUGAAAAAGACGCUAGAGGAGACUAAGAAGUCUCUAAGUGUUUUAGGAAAACAUAGUGCCAGAUGUGAAGCGUCAAAGCUUCCCUCACUGAUAAGUCAUGAAGAAAAUCUUGAUCUUAAAGACAAGAUUGAAAGACUUAAUGAAACCCUUUACAAAAAGGAGAAAGAACUUGAUGACACGAAUAAGCAGCUUGCUAAGACCACAGAGGAUCUGAUACAGUCAGAAUCCCUACUAGAGCAAGCAACAGAAGAUGUAAAAACUUUGAAAGCACUGGUCAAAGUGCGUGCUGAAGCUCUUGAAGCUAAGGAGAAGCAAACUUCUACCUUACAGCACCAGCUCCAGAUAGCUCAAAGACAGUUAAUUCUUUGUCAAGAACGGCAAGAAAAGACAGACAAAGAACUUGAAGAUGCCCAAAGAGAGUUACAAUGCUCCCUCCAGUCAGGUCGAGCCCAAAGAGAACGCAUGGAGCAAACGUUUCUUGAAGAAAUGAUAGGUGAUCAGCCUCCUGAGAGAGCGCCAUCACUUCCUUCCAAACCAACUCUUAAGUAUCUCUCUCAGCAUCAUGACAGGACCCUGCUUGACCCUGAGAGGUCAUCCUUAAACCAAGAGUCCUACUCUCCUCCUCAUGAUGGUUUUUUACCAUUUCCCUCAGACAGGGAUCUUGACAAAAUUGCUCGCAUCAUAGCACGCUUUGAACCUGAGCACCAAGGUGCUACUGACACCUGCACCUACUUGAAAGACAUUGACUUUUACCUGCGGAAAUUUCCAGGUGCAACCGUUGAUGACAAAAUCUACCUUAUUAAGGCGACGUCAAGUCGAGAGGUUAGCAGUUUCCUAGAACGACAGCCUUAUCAUGUCAGAAAUAAUUAUGACUUGCUCUGCCAAGCAUUAAUUGAAGAGUUUUCUGACUAUUUGACCCAGACAGGCCUCUCUGCUGCUCUGUCUAUUAAACAAGGGAGAUCAGAACCUCCCCAACAUUAUUACAACCGCUUACGCGAAGCUUACUUUGGUUUCCGAAAUGAACCAGAAAUGGAGGAGGACUUGAACUUCAAAACGCUGUUCGUCCAGAACCUCCACCCUACCACCAGUCAUCACCUUGGCGUCUUAGCUUGUCCAAACACUUCGACUAGCCAACAGCUUCGUGAACUUGCUGUAAAAGGUUUUGCCAAACAACGACAAACUUUGGCUAAGAAAGCAGAGCCCGUUACUCUCUUGGCUAUGGAGACAAAAUCACUGCCCAUGGAGCUGAACGAAGCUUCAGACUGUGUUUUUUCAGGCUCCGAUAAGCCUCCAAAUGAGUGGUUAACCAGGCCUCCAAAACCUUUUCGACCUCAACAAACUCACAAAGGUCAAAGUUACACACCAAGGCCCAGGUCUGACCCAGACCAAUGCCAGGUAAACUUUGAGACCAACUGUUGUUAUUCAGACUCCCGUCACGGUGGGUUUUAUCCCAGACAAAGGAAAAACCAUCAACACCGCCAAAGUGGGGUGAAUGACUGGCAGAAUCAGAGUAAAUCACACUCUCAGAAACGACGAUCUUAUUAUCCACCUCAAUCGGUUUCAUCCACUUUGAAGGUGAAUAAACAUGACUACUCAGCUAACCACUGAGAUUAACACUGUGGAGUCAUGAAGGUGUGAGUCCUGCGAAAGCAGAAGUCACCUAGCCAAAGCUAAAUGACUCCAAUAAGAUAUCCAAAUGCUGUGGUGAUACAUUGAUGACUGCAAUACCAGUUGCUGCUUUCUUUGUUAGCAUUUGUCUCUCCUCUG